rnacentral:rRNA from 1 species
AUUGAACGCUGGCGGCAGGCUUAACACAUGCAAGUCGAACGAGUGGCGGACGGGUGAGUAAGGCUUGGGAAUCUAGCUUAUGGAGGGGGAUAACUAGGGGAAACUGUAGCUAAAACCGCGUACCAUAGGAUGAGCCCAAGUGGGAGUAGGUAGUUGGUGAGGUAAAGGCUCACCAAGCCGACGAUCUCUAGCUGGUCUGAGAGGAUGACCAGCCACACGGGGACUGAGACACGGCCCAGACUCCUACGGGAGGCAGCAGUGGGGAAUAUUGCGCAAUGGGGGCAACCUGACGCAGCAAUGCCGCGGGAAUGAAGAAGGCUUUCGGGUUGUAAAGUUCUUUUGGUAGCGAAGCGGUAACUACAGAAGAAGCACCGGCUAACUACGUGCCAGCCGCCGCGGUAAUUC